rnacentral:rRNA from 1 species
GACAGAGGGUGCAAACGUUGUUCGGAAUUACUGGGCGUAAAGCGCGUGUAGGCGGCUUCGCAAGUCGGAUGUGAAAUCCCACGGCUCAACCGUGGAAGCGCAUUCGAAACUGCAAGGCUAGAGUCCUGGAGAGGAAGGUGGAAUGCUUGGUGUAGAGGUGAAAUUCGUAGAUAUCGGGAGGAACACCGGUGGCGAAGGCGGCGACCUGGGUAGAUACUGACGCUGAGGUGCGAAAGCGUGGGGAGCAAACAGG